CCAAUGGGGGUAUCUAGAGAGGUUGCGUAGGCCUUUGGGCUCUGUGAUGUAUAGUCCUCUUACACGCUGUUGAAGAGCAAGCUGGGCCCUUGUGGUCUGCAACCGGCAUAUUCCUACUGCUUCUCUGAGUCUUCUGGCAGUGACUGAGGAGAUAAACCAUGAAGGAGACAUGU